CCAAAAUGAGAGGGAGGGACGGAGGGAGAGCUCGGCCAACAGAGUCGCCUCCCUCCGUGCAGUUGGUGGGAGGAGAGAUCAGCAUGAGAACUGUCCCCGCCUAACACUGAUCAAGACGUGGUUGGCACUGCACGCUGCAUAUGUACCAGUUACUCACACCAGCACUGGACGCGAGGACGUGGGUGAACACGAGUACCUUGAAAAGACCAUUCACGGGAGAUUCCACCUGGUCCUCUUGACGUCACUUCUGGGACAGAGCCAAUGGAAAGAGACCUUCCCAGCUCCGGCCCCUGUGAUGUCAUGUCCGGGCUCGCACCAAUGGCAGAAGACAUCCAUGAGCCCGACCCCUUU